GGGGGGUGUAAGGGUUUUAGAGAACUGUGCAUUUUGCAGUCACAAGAUGAGACAUCCGCCAGAGACAACAGCUACGCCAGGAAACAGGAGUGCGUCUAGAGGUUGGGACCAACCUGCACGCCAACGAUAGGCUGGAAUAAGUCUAAACCAUAUUCUAGCCUCUACUAUGACAGGCUCUCAUGGAGAGGGAACUAAGUCUGUCCAGUAUUUAAGGAAGAACUUGUGAUGUCAUACCAGUGUUCUCUGUCUGCCCUGCGGGGUUUACAGGGAGUCCGUAUAUACGAGCCACAUAUUUACCAUUCAAGUGUUUGCAUUAAUUAAAGUACACAGAAAUCAGAAGUUACUAUGUGCUGACUAUUUUGUUCUGAUACCAGAUUCGAAUUGACGCGACUUAACAUGGUGGCCCCGGACGUGAUCUGGUACCGGGACUUCGCUGAGUAUUGAUCAGCCAAUUGGACAUCGCUGUCGUGGGAGGGGUGUUUCACAAAACGUCAUGACAACUAAAAACAGGUAAGCAGACACCUAUUGUUAUAAUAACUAAAGAUCUGCAUAUUGGCUUUAUCCAAAUAAAUUUUGUGAAGCACCUGUUCGAUGUAAGUGAACCAAAUUAUGAAUUAUUAUGAGUAGAUAAGAAAUAUUAUAGAGUCAUUAUUGUGACAUGCAAACCCAUGGUGAAUGUGUUGUUAUUACCUUGGUAACUUGGAGUAUUGUUCUACCGGCGAGAUUCGUAACUAAGGGUACGGUUAGGAUCGGAGAAAAUACUGAAAUCUCCCGGCUAGGAUCGUAACUUGGAGGGUGCGACCCUGGGAUAUAGGGUAUAAUUGAAAUAGCAAUUGCUGCCAGCUAGGUUCGUGACUACGAGGGUACGACUUGGAUCGGCGGAGUAAUUCUUAGGAAAGGAGGUGAGGUUGUAGGCGAGAUAAAAGGGGACUAAUAAAUUAGGAACUUAAAGGCAAGGGAAAGAUAGUAUAAUAGAAGUUUGAAGAUAAGAUUAUAUGCUUAAUUUAGGUGUAAAAUAAAAUGAGAUAUUUAGCUGGUUGAAUUUAGUAAACUAGAAGGUUAAAGAUAAAAUAGUAAUAGGACAAUAAAAAGGCUGGCGAUAAAAUAAUAUGCUUAAUUUAGGUGUAGAAUAAAAGGUGAUAUUUAACUGUUUGAAUUUAUUAACGAAAAAGCAUCAAAAGGACUGGAGGAAUAUGUUAAAUAGGACAAUAAUUGUGGCUAUUGACAAGGCACGUACUGCGGGCGUGGCUAGAGUUGUAAAAUAUGUUUUAAAUGAUGGGUUAAAGUUGGGACUAAUGGUAAGAAAGAUGCAUAAGGUAUGUGGAGACAAGACAUGGAAAAAGUAAGUCGAGGGUUAGACGUAGCCAGGGUAUGGCUGUCUAAAGCCCGGAUAAGAAGGCAAAAAGGCAAGUGUAAAGAAAGAGAGAGAGAAAGUUUGAAGAAGGAGAUCAGCAGGGGGAGAAAAAAAAAUUAUGUGCGUGUGAGAUAGGUUUACUGACCAGUUAAAGGUAACUUGUAUGUGUGUGAGACCUAAUAACUUAUCAAAAGUCACAACAGUAAUUAUUCCUAAAGUCUGAGAAGGAGAAAAAGAAAGACAGAGAUAACGAGGAAGGAGCCGAGGGUGGAACGAAAAAGGAAGUUACUAAGAAAGUUGAAAAGUAAGUUUGGCGAUUUAUAUGUUACAUUUAGGGUCAUAGACAUUUCAUAAGUGUGAAGCCGAAAGAGAGAUACAGUUGGAACAUUGGUUUUAAUCUUGCGAUAGAGGAAAGGCAGAACGCUGUUUGAAAAGAGGUAAUAUUUUUUUCCUAUGAGUAUGUGGCUGGAAGCAAUUCUGGUCUGAAUAAUGGAAUCGUAAAGGUUUUGUGAUAAAUUCUGGUUAUUGAUUCGUGGUAUUGAUUGUUUAGUAACACCAGUGAAUUGAACAUUGCAUGGAAAAAUAUCAAGUCAUUAAAGUGAAUUACAGGUGGAGUUAAUUUUAUUUUUACAGGGACAGUGCACAUUAAACACAGUUGUGUAUAAUGGCAGGGUAUUCCUAGUAAACAGAAUGGGCCGGUUUGCAGACAAACUGAAGGGGUUUUAAGGUUUUAAGCAAUCUUGGGUUAAAUUAGUCAAGUAGUAUGUUAAAAUAGGGGAGUUUAAUAGGUUUGAAGUACAGUAUUGUAUCCAAGGGUAGCGCAUGUUCAAUUAAGUUUAAAACUAAUGAUUGGGGGGAGUACAAUGGAAUUAUAAGUAUUAUUAGGUUUUGUUUAUAGUCAACUUUUGGGUUUUUGAAUCAGUGUGGUAGAAUGAAACGCUGACCAAGUGGUUAUUUUAUUGAAAAAGGAGCGCUUGGCUGUCUUUGGGAGAAAUUCCUAGGGACAGGAUAUCUUAAAGGGAUACACACAUGGCAUUUUGGAAGUUUUGUUUUCUGAGUUUUAAUUAAACAUGUGAAAUUAUUUUGAUAGGGAAUGUUCUGGGAAAUGGGGAUACAAAAUGUAGAUAAAGUUAUUAGCUUUCAUUUGUCUAAUGUAGUAAGAAAUAUGGUUCUGAAAGGGUGGUAUGACUUUUGACCUCUCUGGUGACUUUUCCUUUUGUGGUCUGAUCAGCCGCAAUGAAAAGCCAUUUGGAUGGUGAAUUUAAGGUCAUUUGUGAUACUGGCUUUAAGGACAUUUGUAGAAUUGAUAAUUAUAAUGGAGUUAAAGUUCUUAGACACAAUUGAUCAUUUGAACCAAUGAGAAGACAGAAUGACGAUAAGAGUACAAUAAUCUUUCUUUGUGGAGUUGUUCAGAUCAGUCAUUUUGAUCUGAUUAUGUUAAGUGAAAAUCGUUUGAUAAUUAGGGGUACUUUUUACAUUAUCUAGAUACGUUUCUUUUCCCCUAGGUAGUCAGCUGUGGUUGUAUUCAGUGGAAUAGAUUUAACACAACAAGGCUGUGGAAUGAAUAUAAUAGUAUUAUUAUAUUUUGUUGUUGAAUAAGUUUAAUAAGGGUAGACUUUUGUCAUCAGGACAGGAAUAUAUGACAUCUGUAGGUGAUCCAGGAUCAUUGAGGGUAUCGAGAUAAAUUUAAGUAGCUAUGGAAUAAGAUAGUGAGACAUUUAGUACUCCCCUGCACUGCUGAGACCUUGAUGGGUUGGAAGUAGCAGGAGGAGAGCAUAAGCAAGGAAGAGAAGAUAAAAGGGACACAGAAGAAUUAGAUAACAGUUAGUGAGUGGAGAUCAGCAUAGUUAAAUUAUAAACAGGUGAGGACAGAAAUAAUACUGGGUCAGACAGAAAAUACAUAAUAAGAAUAAAAGAUAGGAAGAGAAUGUAGUUUGGUUUGCUUAGCUUUAGGAUAUUAAUUCAUGCAGAGACUAUCGGCUCCAUAGGCAUGUAUUUUAGUUUUGAUUUUAAGUUAUGUUUGGUAAAAUUCGCUAGGAAAAGAUAUGAUAAUUUUGUUGAAAGUAGUUGUUAAAUCUUAAAGAAGAUAAGACACUUGACAGAGAAUUGUUACAGGGUAGCUAAGGAUGAAUGUCCAAGGGAGAAUUGGACAUGUGGAAAAUGAAAGGGGGCAAUCCUACAAGAGAAGGGCUGACAUAAGGAUCAUUUACUAACCUUACCAAAGACACUGUUUAGAUAUGCAGCAAAAUUGAUACAUGGCUUGAGCCAUGUAUAAAUAGGGGGAGUAUGGUAGAGAGUAUGGUAGAGCAGGUGAUAGAACAGAUUAGGAUAAUUACUUAAACAAAAACAUUUUUUGUAGAUUGGAAAUGGACUUAUUGAACUAUUCCGAAUUGAGGGGAAGAAGGGGUGUUUAACAAUAACAGAUAAGUAUAGCAAAUGGUUAGAAGCGUUCCCAACUUACUUGGUGGACAUGAUUAUGGUAGCUAGAAUAUUAGGUCAAGAUAUUAUCCCUAGAGUUGGUUUACUGGGAUCUAUCUCUUUAAAGAAUGAAUGACAGUUUAGCUAAUCAGCUAGAGCCUAUAGAAUGCCAGAGUUAGAGAUACCAGAAAAGGUAGACAUAGAAGUUGAAGAAAUACUAGCAGAGGACAUGAAAAGACUGUUUGUUAACCAAACCCGUAUGUCCGAGAUUUUGUGUCCAACAGGUGAAUUACAGGAGAAGGUGAUUCACUCAAUCCAACCAGGAGACUGGGUGUGGAUCCAGUCCCUGAGGAGAAAAGAACUGGAAGCAGCCACAGUGGGAGGGGCCAUACCAAGUGCUCCUGGUAACAGCCUUUGCGGUGAGAAUAGCUGAAAGAGCUACCUGGGUUCAUAUCACACAUUGCGGGAGGGUAAGACACACUGACACUGUCGAACAAUCACAGAGUUGGAGAAGAACCGAAUACCAAUAAGGUUCGGGGGUUACCUCUCUAACGAAGAUUCCCUAACCCGCCCGAUCCUCACUGUGUGCGUUCAUAGAAGUGAAAGUGUGGGUUGGCCUCUAGCCAGUGAUAUGUUCUCCGGGAGGGGGUGCGGCUUUACAGAGGUACUGGUCGGUCUGAGCUGUCUGAUUGUGGGAGCCAUAUUCCUAAUACACCAUGAACCACUCGAGAAGUCAGAAAGUGGUAACUUGACCCAUAGUGUAGAAGAUGAGGAGUUUUUAUGCCCUAGGUACAAAAGGUCAUUCGAGCUGGAUAAAAAGGAAGUGAGAGUAGAGUUAGGGAAGGAUGUCUCAAUAGAGUUCUAUGCAGACCAAAUGGGGUCCCUAACCUCCUGGCAGUCUAGGACUCUGACUUCAUGGGGAAGAUAUCUGUGUAGAUCCCUGUGUAACUCAUGGAAUCAGGUCAUAGCUCACACAGGGAGAGAAGGCUAUGUCAAUCCACACACCCAAUAUAGAAACAGAUGGAGUAUAGUGAAAGCCAGGGUUUUUGACUGCAAUCCAGAGCAAGGGAAGUAUUGCUUAAAGGUAUGAAUUACCAUUAAAAGCGUUAAAAAAGGAGGAUUUAGGGUUAUGGUAUGUUGACCUUGACCAGACCAGUGUCGACACUACGGUACCAUUCCGAGUAGUAGAGGUUAGGACAGGAUACCAGUUGUACCCCUGAUAAAACGGACAUUACUCGUGUAGUCAUCCAGAGCCAAGGACUGGUGAGGAUAGUUCAGACGAAAGAUCUUAAGGAAGUGAUUGAGGUGGAGACUUGGUUUGGGGAUUCCAACCUAUGGCUGGAAUGGAUUCAGUAUACAGCUAGAUCAGUAGCUAAAGACAGUUACACUGAUCUGCAUUAUCUGUAUCCUAUGUGCCCAUUAGAUCCAGACUUCCCCAUUUCACAGUCGCAGGAGGAGACUAUUAUUGUAUGGCUUGACACAAUAUACACGGACGGGAUGUAGGGGAAGUGAGAACACGCAAUAGAACAGAGAGAGAAGGAGUGUUCCGUCUGGGUCCUUAGACGAUAGAGCUUACAUUGAUAGCAUUGGGGUUCCAAGGGGGUUGUCUAAUGAGUUUAAAACUAGGAAUUAGAUAUUGGCUGGAUUGGAAUCAGCAUCUUCUGGUGGUCAACCCUCAAUAAAAAUGUAGAUUGGAUAAAUUAUAUUUAUUAUAACCAACAGCAGAUCAUCAACUAUACUAGAGAUGUGAUAAAAGGAUUAGCAGAACAGACAGAGGCAACUAGUUUGAUGGCUUGGCAGAAUAGAAUUGCAUUGGAUGUGUUACUGGUGGAGAAGGGUGGUGUGUGUGUGAUAUUCGGAUCAAUGUGCUGUACUUUCAUCCCAAAUAACACAGCUACAGAUGGAUCAGUGGCCAAGGCCCUGGCAGGUUUAACCACAUUGGCUAACGAGUUAGUAGAGAACUCUGGGGUGGAUACCUCACUGACUGGGUGAUGCGAUAGUAUGUUUGGAAAAAUGGAAAAAUGUUAUAAUCACUGUGUUAUGGGCUGCUUUCACCGGUAUGAGUGUGUUUGUGUUGUGUGGUUGUUGUCUGGUCCCGUGUGCGAGAGGUCUCAUUUCCAGGGUUCUGGAGAGAUUGAUAACGGAGCAGAUGGGCAACCGGAAUGAUGCCCUUGAUGGAAGUGACCCCAGUGGAUACUGAAUCAACCUCUGGGCAAAGGAGGGGUCUGUCUGAGGACGAUCCUUGGUUUGCUGUUGAGGAAGUGGUAGAAUAAAGCUUAUCCAAAAUGUUCUUAUAUGUGUUGAAUGUAGUGACAGGUGGAUGUGAAGGUUUUAAGUUCUGGGACAAAGAGUCUGUCCCACACAUGUUAGGUGUAGCCCCUGCCGCAAGAAGGUCUUCUUUUUAUACGUUUUGAAUAAUAUGUUCUGAAUAUAUCCUGUGUACUAUUUGUCUUUCCUGAUGUGAGGGUUUGAAGUUCCUGGGUGACUGGUAGUCAACCUAGUACAAGUUAGGUGUAGCCGGAAGGACGUGAGGGUUUUUAACUACUCAUCUAAUCAUUAAAUCGAAAAUUUACAAUUGUGUUGAGUGACACCCUAGGGGGUGUCAAAAGGGGGAAUCUCAAAAUUUCCCUGAAAUUUUAAGAACUUAUGUAUUCACACCUAUCAGCUGUGAAAAGGGGGAUUGUUAGGGUUUGACCAACUAUUUGUGUCCAUAUACUAUAUAAUAUAACAAUUUGUUUGCAUAACCUAUAUAAUAUAACACAGAUGCUAUAAUGAUAAGUUUAUUAACUAUAAGAUAAUUGAAUACUGCUAUAUGUUAGAGGAAGUGGCUCAUGUGAUGGUGGGUCAUGUGGACAGAAUGCUGAUGCUUUAAAACAGGGUUUUGCAAGAGCUUUUCUGUAGAAUAAUAGCAAUAACAGGAUAUGGGUGAAAGGUAUAUGCAGGGGGGUGUAAGGGUUUUAGAGAACUGUGCAUUUUGCAGUCACAAGAUGAGACAUCCGCCAGAGACAACAGCUACGCCAGGAAACAGGAGUGCGUCUAGAGGUUGGGACCAACCUGCACGCCAACGAUAGGCUGGAAUAAGUCUAAACCAUAUUCUAGCCUCUACUAUGACAGGCCCUCAUGGAGAGGGAACUAAGUCUGUCCAGUAUUUAAGGAAGAACUUGUGAUGUCAUACCAGUGUUCUCUGUCUGCCCUGCGGGGUUUACAGGGAGCCCGUAUAUACGAGCCACAUAUUUACCAUUCAAGUGUUUGCAUUAAUUAAAGUACACAGAAAUCAGAAGUUACUAUGUGCUGACUAUUUUGUUAUGAUACCAGAUUCGAAUUGACGCGACUUAACAUGG
rnacentral:lncRNA from 1 species